rnacentral:tRNA from 1 species
GUAUCUAGAGCUUGACUGAAAGUGUAAUUUUGAAGAAAUUAAGUAUUAUGGUACA